rnacentral:rRNA from 1 species
ACGACUCUCGGCAACGGAUAUCUCGGCUCUCGCAUCGAUGAAGAACGUAGCGAAAUGCGAUACUUGGUGUGAAUUGCAGAAUCCCGUGAACCAUCGAGUCUUUGAACGCAAGUUGCGCCCGAAGCCAUCAGGUUGAGGGCACGUC